UGCCGAAUCAACUAGCCCUGAAAAUGGAUGGCGCUGAGCGUGACGCUCAUACCCGGCCGUCGGCGGCAGUGCAGUAGGCCCCGACGAGUAGGAGGGACGCCGUGGUGAGCAACGAAGCGACGGCCGAGAGGCCGCGCGGAGCCGCCUCGGGCGCAGAUCUUGGUGGUAGUAGCAAAUACUCAAGUGAGAGCCUCGAGGACCGAGUCGUGGAGAAGGGUUCCAUGUGAACAGCCGUUGCACAUGGGUCAGUCGAUCCUAAGGUCUAGGGAAGUUCCGCUCUGAGCGGCGGCGCGCGCCCACCUCAGCCGUGGGCAAGCGCUCCCUGGUCGAAAGGGAAUCGGGUCAAUAUUCCCGAACCUGAAGGUGGAGCCCGCCGCCUCUAAACCGGCGGUCAGAGCUGCAAAGCUACGGAGCCCGGAGACGCCGACCGGAGCCCCGGGAAGAGUUGUCUUUUCUUUGUAAGGGGCGCGGCUCCCUGAAACCGACUGGAUCGGAGAGAGGGACCGCGGCCCCGUAGAGCGCCGCGUCUGGAGCGGCAUCCGGAGUUGCACCGGUCGGCCCUUGAAAAUCCGGGGGACGAGCGUGGACUCUCACCUCAGAUCGUACCCAUAACCGCAGCAGGUCUCCAAGGUGAACAGCCUCUGGUCAAUAGAACAAUGUAGGUAAGGGAAGUCGGCAAGCCGGAUCCGUAACUUCGGGAUAAGGAUUGGCUCUGAGGACUGGGUCGGUCGGGCCGGGGCUGGAAGCAGGCACGGACCCUCAGCGUGACUGGGCGAGCCGGUCGAGACGCUCGUUUCCCUUCUCCCCCCUCUGGGGGAGUCUCUCUGGGGUCGCCUCCGGGCGGUCUCGGCGGGGGCUCUCUCUCUCACGUGGGGGCGGGUCGGGCGGGCACGAGACUGGCGAACCCGGACUUUGCAUUGGGUCCGGCUCGUGGACCGUCCUGGCUGCGCGGCGGCCUCGCGUCGUCGCCUCGGCCGGCG
rnacentral:rRNA from 1 species